AGAAUCAACGCUGGCGGCGUGCCUAACACAUGCAAGUCGCACGAGAAAGGGUAGCAAUACCUGAGUAAAGUGGCGCACGGGUGAGUAACACGUGAAUGAUCUACCUCCGAGUGGGGAAUAAACUGAGAGAAAUCUUAGCUAAUACCGCAUAACACUUACGAGUCAAAGCAGCAAUGCGCUUGGAGAGGAGUUCGCGGCCGAUUAGUUAGUUGGCGGGGUAAUGGCCCACCAAGACGAUGAUCGGUAUCCGGCCUGAGAGGGCGCACGGACACACUGGAACUGAAACACGGUCCAGACUCCUACGGGAGGCAGCAGUGGGGAAUUUUGCGCAAUGGGGGAAACCCUGACGCAGCAACGCCGCGUGGAGGAUGAAAUAUCUUGGUAUGUAAACUCCUUUCGAUGGGGAAGAUUAUGACGGUACCCAUAGAAGAAGCCCGGCUAACUUCGCGCCAGCAGCCGC
rnacentral:rRNA from 1 species